UACAGAGGUCUCAAGCGUUGUUCGGAUUCAUUGGGCGUAAAGGGUGCGUAGGCGGUGAGGCAAGUCAGGUGUGAAAUCCCGGAGCUCAACUCCGGAACUGCACUUGAUACUGCCUUGCUAGAGUACUGGAGAGGAGACUGGAAUUUACGGUGUAGCAGUGAAAUGCGUAGAGAUCGUAAGGAAGACCAGUGGCGAAGGCGAGUCUCUGGACAGUUACUGACGCUGAGGCACGAAGGCCAGGGGAGCAAACGGG
rnacentral:rRNA from 1 species